CGGAAGUAGGAGUGGGUGACGGGCGGUUCGUCCAUCCUUUUACGAUGGACAAGGACACACGAUCCUGAAAAAUGACGCCGGAUCACCGCAGGCUUCAUCAGCUGGUGAUGUCAGUUGCAGCUGCUCUUCCAGAGAUGGUCUCCUUCCUGGAGUCACCGGCCCUCCUGGCAUCUGUUCCCUUUGACCGGCUGACUAAGGAAGGAAAAUGCAAGCCUGGCUGACAAUGUUCUCUGCAAGGUUUCUUGGAACCAACAAGGAAUGGACUGCUCCAGCCUUUCAGACAUGAAUGACAAAGAGACGUGGCUGUGGAAGACGACAGAAAGGAAAUCCUUCCAGUGGGGGGACUUUUGAAUAGCAAACCCACUUUUCUGGAAAGAGAGGACUAAAGCAGAGAGCAGAAAGCUUCAUAGGCAGGGACUAAUGGCCACAGGAGUGAGAAUCCCUAAGCCAUCGUUCCUCUCUUCUAUUCCCGAUACACUCAGUGCAGCAGUCCCCCUUCCACCCUCCCACUGUGCCCUUCCCAGUCCUUCCAUCAUGACCUCUGGGUGUAAAGACCCCUGGCUGUUCCCUGAAGACAUUGCUUCUCCUGCAACCCUCUCCAGGCAUGGCUCUCUCCUCACCUCAAAGGGUUUUUUCAUCCACCACGUCCUUCUUGCUUUCAUUUUCCCAAUCACUACAGCGACUCUCUUGUGUAUACUCUUUG